rnacentral:rRNA from 1 species
GACAGAGGUGCCGAGCGUUAGGCGGAAUCACUGGGCUUAAAGCGUGUGUAGGCGGACCGUUAAGUACCUUGUGAAAAUCCCCCCGGCUCAACCGGGGAACGGCUGGGUAUACUGGCGGUCUUGAGCCAUCCAGGGGCAGUCGGAACAGACGGUGGAGCGGUGAAAUGCGUAGAUACCGUCUGGAACGCCGAAGGUGAAAACAGACUGCUGGGGAUGCGCUGACGCUGAGACACGAAAGCCAGGGGAGCGGAACGGG